AGAGUUUGAUCCUGGCUCAGGAUGAACGCUGGCGGCGUGCUUAACACAUGCAAGUCGAACGGACUUAGAAUGAAACCUAGUGAUUUUUAAGUUAGUGGCGGACGGGUGAGUAACGCGUGGGUAACCUGCCAUGUACAGGGGGAUAACAGCUAGAAAUAACUGCUAAUACCGCAUAAGCGCACGGUGUCGCAUGACACAGUGCGAAAAACUCCGGUGGUACAUGAUGGACCCGCGUCUGAUUAGCUGGUUGGUGGGGUAACGGCCCACCAAGGCGACGAUCAGUAGCCGGCCUGAGAGGGUGAACGGCCACAUUGGGACUGAGACACGGCCCAAACUCCUACGGGAGGCAGCAGUGGGGAAUAUUGCACAAUGGGGGAAACCCUGAUGCAGCGACGCCGCGUGAGUGAAGAAGUAUUUCGGUAUGUAAAGCUCUAUCAGCAGGAAAGAAAAUGACGGUACCUGACUAAGAAGCCCCGGCUAACUACGUGCCAGCAGCCGCGGUAAUACGUAGGGGGCAAGCGUUAUCCGGAUUUACUGGGUGUAAAGGGAACGUAGACGGCUGUGCAAGUCUGAAGUGAAAGCCCGGGGCUCAACCCCGGGACUGCUUUGGAAACUGUGCAGCUAGAGUGUCGGAGAGGUAAGCGGAAUUCCUAGUGUAGCGGUGAAAUGCGUAAAUAUUAGGAGGAACACCAGUGGCGAAGGCGGCUUACUGGACGAUAACUGACGUUGAGGCUCGAAAGCGUGGGGAGCAAACAGGAUUAGAUACCCUGGUAGUCCACGCCGUAAACGAUGACUCCUAGGUG
rnacentral:rRNA from 1 species